rnacentral:tRNA from 1 species
GGAGUAGUACUCAAGUUGGUGAAGAGGCGCCCCUGCUAAGGGCGUAGGUCGGGUAACCGGCGCGAGAGUUCAAGUCUCUCCUACUCCGCCA